UGGGGAAUAUUGGACAAUGGGGGCAACCCUGAUCCAGCCAUGCCGCGUGCGUGAAGAAGGCCUUAGGGUUGUAAAGCGCUUUCAGCGGGGACGAUGAUGACGGUACCCGCAGAAGAAGCCCCGGCUAACUCCGUGCCAGCAGCCGCGGUAAUACGGAGGGGGCGAGCGUUGUUCGGAAUUACUGGGCGUAAAGGGCGCGUAGGCGGUCCGUUGCGUUAGGUGUGAAAGCCCUGGGCUCAACCUGGGAGGUGCACUUAAUACGGGCGGGCUUGAAUCCGGCAGAGGAUGGUGGAAUUCCCAGUGUAGAGGUGAAAUUCGUAGAUAUUGGGAAGAACACCGAUGGCGAAGGCAGCCAUCUGGGCCGGGAUUGACGCUGAGGCGCGAAAGCGUGGGGAGCAAACAGGAUUAGAUACCCCCGUAGUCC
rnacentral:rRNA from 1 species